AUUGAACGCUGGCGGCAUGCCUUACACAUGCAAAUCGAACGGUAACGGGCCUUCGGGUGCCGCCGAGUGGCGGACGGGUGAGUAAUAGAUCGGAACGUGCCCGAUCGUGGUGGUUAACGGGGCAAAAGCUUUGCUAAUACCGCAUACGACCUACGAAUGCAAGCGGGGGACCGCAAGGCCUUGCCGGGCCUGGGCGGCCGAUGGCAGAUUAGGUCGUUGGUGGGAUAAAGGCUUACCAAGGCGACGAUCUGUAGCUGGUCUGAGAGGAUGAUCAGCCACACUGGAACUGAGACACGGCCCAGACUCCUACGGGAGGCAGCAGUGGGGAAUUUUGGACAAUGGGCGCAAGCCUGAUCCAGCCAUGCCGCGUGCAGGAUGAAGGCCUUCGGGUUGUAAACUGAUUUUGUUCGGAACGAAAAGCCUUCUUUUAAUACAGGAGGGUCAUGACGGUACCGUAAGAAUAAGCACCGGCUAACUACGUG
rnacentral:rRNA from 1 species